rnacentral:rRNA from 2 species
UUUUAUAUGAGAGUUUGAUCCUGGCUCAGGAUGAACGCCGGCGGUGUGCCUAAUACAUGCAAGUCGUACGCACUGGCCCAACUGAUUGAUGGUGCUUGCACCGGAUUGACGAUGGAUCACCAGUGAGUGGCGGACGGGUGAGUAACACGUAGGUAACCUGCCCCGGAGCGGGGAUAACAUUUGGAAACAGAUGCUAAUACCGCAUAACAACAAAAGCCACAUGGCUUUUGUUUGAAAGAUGGCUUUGGCUAUCACUCUGGGAUGGACCUGCGGUGCAUUAGCUAGUUGGUAAGGUAACGGCUUACCAAGGCGAUGAUGCAUAGCCGAGUUGAGAGACUGAUCGGCCACAAUGGAACUGAGACACGGUCCAUACUCCUACGGGAGGCAGCAGUAGGGAAUCUUCCACAAUGGGCGCAAGCCUGAUGGAGCAACACCGCGUGAGUGAAGAAGGGUUUCGGCUCGUAAAACUCUGUUGUUGGAGAAGAACGUGCGUGAGAGUAACUGUUCACGCAGUGACGGUAUCCAACCAGAAAGUCACGGCUAACUACGUGCCAGCAGCCGCGGUAAUACGUAGGUGGCAAGCGUUAUCCGGAUUUAUUGGGCGUAAAGCGAGCGCAGGCGGUUGCUUAGGUCUGAUGUGAAAGCCUUCGGCUUAACCGAAGAAGUGCAUCGGAAACCGGGCGACUUGAGUGCAGAAGAGGACAGUGGAACUCCAUGUGUAGCGGUGGAAUGCGUAGAUAUAUGGAAGAACACCAGUGGCGAAGGCGGCUGUCUGGUCUGCAACU